rnacentral:rRNA from 1 species
CAGCAGCCACGGGAAUACGUAGGGUGCAAGCGUUAAUCGGAAUUACUGGGCGUAAAGCGUGCGCAGGCGUGUUGUAAGACUGAUGUGAAAUCCCCGGGCUCAACCUGGGAACUGCAUUGGUGACUGCAACGCUGGAGUGCGGCAGAGGGGGAUGGAAUUCCGCGUGUAGCAGUGAAAUGCGUAGAUAUGCGGAGGAACACCGAUGGCGAAGGCAAUCCCCUGGGCCUGCACUGACGCUCAUGCACGAAAGCGUGGGGAGCAAACAGGAUUAGAUACCCGCGUAGUCCCUGUCUCUUAUACA